rnacentral:rRNA from 1 species
AACGAACGCUGGCGGCAUGCCUAACACAUGCAAGUCGAACGAGACCUUCGGGUCUAGUGGCGCACGGGUGCGUAACGCGUGGGAACCUGCCCUUAGGUUCGGAAUAACUCCCCGAAAGGGGUGCUAAUACCGGAUAAUGUCUUCGGACCAAAGAUUUAUCGCCUUUGGAUGGGCCCGCGUUGGAUUAGCUAGUUGGUAGGGUAAAAGCCUACCAAGGCGACGAUCCAUAGCUGGUCUGAGAGGAUGAUCAGCCACACUGGGACUGAGACACGGCCCAGACUCCUACGGGAGGCAGCAGUGGGGAAUAUUGGACGAUGGGCGAAAGCCUGAUCCAGCAAUGCCGCGUGAGUGAUGAAGGCCUUAGGGUUGUAAAGCUCUUUUACCCGGGAUGAAAUGACAGUACCGGGAGAAUAAGCUCCGGCUAACUCCGUG